CUUUUACUAGAGAAUAGCCAAGAGAAAUUUUGAUUAAUGCUCUAUGUUCUUAUUUACUCGCAUGAGUAAAUAAGCAAAGCUCCGGCGGUAAAAGAUGGGCAUGCGUCCUAUUAGCUUGUAGGUGAGGUAAUGGCUCACCUAAGCUCCGAUAGGUAGGGGUCCUGAGAGGGAGAUCCCCCACACUGGUACUGAGACACGGACCAGACUUCUACGGAAGGCAGCAGUAAGGAAUAUUGGACAAUGGAGGCAACUCUGAUCCAGCCAUGCCGCGUGAAGGAAGACGGCCUUAUGGGUUGUAAACUUCUUUUAUACAGGAAGAAACCUUUCCACGUGUGG
rnacentral:rRNA from 1 species